GCCAGAUGAACCAUAAAGUUUGUGUUAUUUUUAAGUGAGAAACUUAAUUACUAGGGUAACAAGUAUUGAAUUAAGGGGCAUAUACAUGUACAAACAAGGUACUGGUAAUGAACUAUUGAAUUAGGGGGCAUAUACAUGUACAAACAAGGUACUGGUAAUGAACUAUUGAAUUAGGGGGCAUAUACAUGUACAAACAAGGUACUGGUAAUGAACUAUUGAAUUAGGGGGCAUAUACAUGUACAAACAAGGUACUGGUAAUGAACUAUUGAAGUAGGGGGCAUAUACAUGUACAAACAAGGUACUGGUAAUGAACUAUUGAAUUAGGGGGCAUAUACAUGUACAAACAAGGUUCUGGUAAUGAACUAUUGAAUUAAGGGGCAUAUACAUGUACAAACAAGGUACUGGUAAUGAACUCUUGAAGUAGGGGGCAUAUACAUGUACAAACAAGGUACUGGUAAUGAAAGUUAUUUGAUUUAUUCAUGUUAUGUAAAGAACUGAAAUGAUUAAUCAAAUUAUGGCAUCUUUAAAUUUUUA